rnacentral:lncRNA from 1 species
ACGUGGGUAGGUUUCAUAAGGACGCAGAUACCGUGGUUUUAUUAGGACGUAGAUACAGUGGUUUUAUCAGGACGUAGAUACAGUGGUUUUAUAAGGACGUAGAUACAGUGGUUUUAUAAGGACGUAGAUAGAGUGGUUUUAUAAGGACGUAGAUACAGUGGUUUUAUCAGGACGUAGUUAGAGUGGUUUUAUCAGGACGUAGAUACAGUGGUUUUAUUAGGUCGUAGAUACAGUGGUUUUAUAAGAACGUAGAUACAAUUGUUUUAUUAGGCUCCAUCCUUGGACCAGGUGUCCAUCCAAAACGUCGUGAGAACAAAGAGGAGCAGACGUCCCACUGCACCCGUGCCCCCGCCGGCUCCACAGAAGAGGUGCAAACCAAAAGGUAAAAGUGCUCUUUCAUUUAAUUGUGGGAAACAGCUCUAUGUGUGUGUGUGUGUGUAUGUGAUGUGUGAGUGUGAGUGUGAGUGUAUGUGCUGUGUGUGUAUGUGCUGUGUGUGUGUGUGAGUGUAUGUGCUGUGUCUGAGUGUAUGUGCUGUGUGUGUGUGUGAGUAUAUGUGCUGUGUGAGUGUAUGUGCUGUGUGUGUGUGUGUGAGUGUAUGUGCUGUGUGUGUGUGUGUGUGCUCUAUUACCACCUAAUUCUGAAGCAAUGACACACAAUGAGUGUGUCUUUACCUCAUUUUUUGCUCUGCAGAUUGUGACGUGCAUCCGUCAAUGGAGACCUUCGGUGUGAAACUAGUUUUAAAGCGGAGGCUGUCCAGUGAGGACAAGGAGGAGGCAUACGUCAGGUGGAUGCCGUGUCCAAAAUGUGGAAAAAAAUGGCAAGACUCCUGGGUGUUGAGUGAGGAAUUUGAUUGAAGAGCCAUGUCUGUGUUAAUAAUAAUAAACUUCAUUUGCGUAGGACCGUGUUGUUGUUA